GCCAAAUUUUGUGAUUUUAUCUUGACACAUUCUAUCGCUGCAUAUGGAAUGUUCAGUUAUUAGGAUUAUGAAAGAUUCUCUUUAUUAAAAAUGUACCUGUAUGCUUUAUGGCAAGAGUGACAAGAGGUCAGGAUAAAAGUUUAGUCAACACAUGAGAUACUAGCAUAAGCUGUGGCAUGAAAGUAUGUUAGAUGGAUUUUCUUUACCUGCUGUAUUCCAUUCAUGGGGCUUCCAGAGGCUAACCCGGCUACUGUUGGCGGGGUAAACCCUGGACAGGUCGCCAGUUUGUCCCAGGGCCACACAAUCACACAAACAAACAAACACAAAAGGAAUGUAUGUAAAAUUCUGAAUACACAAGAAUAAACAAACCCACAAUUAAAAAAUAUACAACUGUUUUGUAUAUAUUUUCUUCCUUUGAAAGUUAUUUUUGUUGAAUUAUAAAAUAUUUUAUGAGUCUGCAGCAAUUAAAAAAGGAAUCUCUUAUAGCUUAGUUGUUUUUUUUUUAGUUUUUUUUUUUAAAGUCAGUUAGUGACCACGAUGCUUUGUCAUCCGGCAGUCAUUAUAAGCUGCAUAAUUAGUUUGAGAAGAAGUGAAAGCUUUUCAUUUUCUAGCACUUUGUCAGCUGGCAGGAUGCCAAAGCAUUCUGCUUCACAAACAAGCUGUUUGGAAAAAUCAAUUUUCAGUCCUCGGUACCUGAGGGCAGCAGGUGUAUCACCGGAGACUCGGUUUAACUUCUGUCGCUUUGACUGUCGAAUCCUCAAACAGUUCACAGGCUCGUCCCCAAAGGGCACAUCGCUGUGCUUGUUUCCCCGUUACGCUGCUUAAACACACCUGAUUCUGCUCUUUAUGGAGCACUGCGAAGACCUGGUAGUGACAGCCCUUAAGGUCAGGCGUCUUUGUGCAGAACAUAGAAAAAAGUGCUGAGUCUUGAGGGCAGAAGUGAAGGACGGUGACCCAACAGGAUGGUAAAAUAUACUUUGUUGAAAGCCAGGAAGAGGUAAGAAACAAUCUUGCAUGUAUUAAUAUUAUUGAAGUUUAAUUUCACCCUCCCCUCACUUUACAUUACAUUUCCAAAUUAAAAAAAAAA